rnacentral:rRNA from 1 species
CAACUUUCAACAAUGGAUCUCUUGGCUCUCGCAUCGAUGAAGAACGCAGCGAAACGCGAUAAGUAAUGUGAAUUGCAGAAUUCAGUGAAUCAUCGAAUCUUUGAACGCACCUUGCGCUCCUUGGUAUUCCGAGGAGCAUGCCUGUUUGAGUGUCAUUA